CGCAUCUGUGCAUGCAGCAUAUCAAUAAGCGGAGGAAAAGAAACUAACAAGGAUUCCCCUAGUAACGGCGAGUGAAGCGGGAAGAGCUCAAAUUUGAAAUCUUAAAGGGUUUCCCUUUACGAAUUGUAGUUUAAAGAAGUGUUUUCUGUUGAGGUUUUGGUAAAAGUUCUUUGGAAUAGGACAUCAUAGAGGGUGAGAAUCCCGUAUUUGACCUUUACUUUCAACUUUGUGAUACACUUUCAAAGAGUCGGAUUGUUUGGGAAUGCAGUCCAAAAUGGGUGGUAAAUUUCAUCUAAAGCUAAAUAUUGGCGAGAGACCGAUAGCGAACAAGUACCGUGAGGGAAAGAUGAAAAGAACUUUGAAAAGAGAGUUAAACAGUACGUGAAAUUGUCAAAAGGGAAGCGUUUGACACCAGUGUUGUUUUUCUGAAAAUCAAUUAAAGAACUGUUUAUGCUAAGUUGUUUAGACUUUAUCAGGCUAACUGUUUAGUUUUGAGCUUUUCUUUAAUGCACUUUUCAGUUAACAAGUCAACAUCAAUUUCUUUUGCUGUAAAAAAGCUUGAGGAAGGUGGCUUGAGAUUCGUCUUAAGUGUUUAUAGCCUCUUGCCUAUGCAGUCGGAGAGAUUGAGGUCUGCAGCGUAGAUCCUUCGGGGCUAAAUGCAUUUGUGCUAAGUUAUAACAUUUCAUAGACAACUUGUUGACUAUGAUUUGUCUUGUAGCUUACUCGCUUAUGUUAUUUUACCUACGCUUAGGAUGUUGACAGCAGUAUAGACUGU
rnacentral:rRNA from 1 species